AGUUAAAUAGCUUAUAAAGCAUAUGUUUUGAAAGCAUAAGAAAGGAGUUUAAAUCUCCUAUUAACUU
rnacentral:tRNA from 1 species